rnacentral:rRNA from 1 species
UGCGUAGGCGGUCGUUUAAGUAGGGUGUGAAAUCCCCGGCUCAACCGGGGAACUGCGCUCUAAACUGGACGGCUUGAGUGAGAUAGGGGUGUGCGGAACUUCCGGUGGAGCGGUGAAAUGUGUUGAUAUCGGAAGGAACACCAGUAGCGAAAGCGGCACACUGGGUCUUAACUGACGCUGAGGCACGAAAGCUAGGGUAGCGAACG